GAUGAAGAACGUAGCGAAAUGCGAUAAGUAAUGUGAAUUGCAGAAUUCAGUGAAUCAUCGAAUCUUUGAACGCAUCUUGCGCUCCUUGGUAUUCUGAGGAGCAUGCCUGUUUGAGUGUCAUUAAAUUCUCAACCGCACUGACUUUGAAUUGGUGUGGCUUGGAUAUGGGGGGAAAAUUGUUGUGGGCUUUUUUGUAUAGUCUGCUCCCCUGAAAUUGAUUAGCGGUACCUUUGUGGAACUGUCUACAGGUGUGAUAAUUAUCUACAUCCUAGACAUCUGCUGGAAUGCUGCUUUCUAAACCUUACUUGUAUUGACAAUCUUGACCUCAAAUCAGGUAGGACUACCCGCUGAACUUAAGCAUAUCAAUAAGCGGAGGA
rnacentral:misc_RNA from 1 species